UGCAGACUAGCAGACUGUAGUCUCACCAUAGUACACUGUGAAACUCUCUGCUCUGCUCUGAAAUCAGAAAACUCCUUCCUGAUAGAGCUGGACCUCAAAAAAAAAACCUGCAGGAUUCAGGAGUGGAGCUGCUCUCAGCUGGACUGAAAGGUUCACACUGUAAACUGCAGACACUCAGACUGCCAUUCUGUCAUCUUGGUGAAAAGACGUGUGAAACUUUGGGAUCAGUUGAAAAACUCCUCCCUGAAAGAUCUGGACCUCAGUAACAAUGAUCUGCAGGACUUAGGAGUGGAGCUGCUCUCUGCUGGACUAAAGAGUUCACACUGUAAACUGCAGACACUUGGAUUAAUAUAUGGUUGUAUGAUCACAGAAGAAGGCUGUGUUUCUCUGGCUACUGCACUGAAUUCAAACCCCUCCCACCGGAAAGAACUGGAUCUGACCUACAACCAUCCAGGAGAUUCAGGAGUAAAGCUGCUCUCUGCUAGACUGCAGGAUCCACACUGCACACUCAACACACUCAGGGUGGAACAUGGAGGGAAAAUCAGAAUCAAACCAAAGAAAUCAAAGAAAUAUGGCUGUGAUUUUACACUGGAUCCAAACACAGUACACCCUAGUCUAGGGUGACCUAGUGAGGACACCCUAGUUAGGACAACAGGACGGUGAUGAGAGGAGAGAAGCUGCAGUCGUAUCCUGAUCAUCCAGAGAGAUUUGAUAAGUGGGAGCAGGUUCUGAGUAGAGAGAGUGUUACUGGGCGCUGUUACUGGGAGGCUGAGUGGAGCGGCAGAGGAGUUUUUGUAUCUGUAAGUUAUAAAACCAUCAGCAGGACAGGAGAAGAAUCAAACUGUCGGUUUGGAGGAAAUAUAAACUCCUGGUGUCUGAGCUGCUCUGAUUACAGUUACUCUGUUCAUCACAAUCUGAACUACACUAAACUCCGCCCUCCUCCCUCUGGCUGUAGGAAAAUAGGAGUGUAUGUGGACUGUCCUGCCGGCAUUCUGUCCUUCUACGGCGUCUCCUCUAAUACACACACACUUAUACACAUUCAGCACCACCUUUACUCAGCCCCUCUAUGCAUGAUUCACUAUUCAUGAAGACUCCUCAGUGUCUGUGUGUGAGAUAGAUUAACCUUCCCUCUGUUUGUGAGCGUGAGUAUGAGAGAGUAUGAGUAAGUAGGACUGUAAGUGUGAGUAUGAGUAUAGUGA